AUGGGCAUGGCGAGCCACAGCCGCUGCCACGCGGGGGAGCCACCAACGCAGGAGCUCCACGCGGACGAGUCGCCCAGUGCCAUGCCCGCCGCCACUACUAGGGAGGAGCGACGGCCCAGAACUCCGCACAAUCUCCUCGGUCCACCCCACCCCGGCUCCUCUCCCCACGAUCUCCUGGCCGCCGCCCCCACCCUCGCCGGCCGGUUCCGGCGAGCACCGGCCGCGCGCAACACCCCACCUCCUCCUCCUCCUCCCCCUCCCUUCCCCUUCCUCCUCUGCCCGCCCCUUCUCUCUCCUUCCUCCCGGCGGCCGGCGAUGGGCGCGGACAAGGAGGAGCACCAGUCCCCUGCGCGGAAGCGUGAGCGCGAGGAGGGGGAGGAGCCCGUGGCCGCCGAUGAGAAGCGCCCGCGCACGGCGGACAAGUCGGGGGGCGUUUACCAGGAGAGGCCGCCCCGAAGCCUCUCGCCGCCGGAAACCCUCGCCGCCCAUCUACACCGGAGCACCGGCGAGAAACCGUCCUCCUCCCAAACCGAGCCGGAUCGAGUCCGGUCCGGCCGGCCAGCCCGGAUCUCCCCCGUCCGAGGCCGGUCUCGCCCCCCGCCGGUAGCGCGCGGAAAAGAAACAUGUGCAAAUGUUGAGGUAGUCAUAUCCAGUGAACCCCGGGUGACCGACGAGGACUACUGCGGCCCGAUGGGAGUCGUGCUCUUCAACUACUCGGAGGCGGACUUCACCGUGAAGCCUCGCGACCGCGUCAUACAGAUUGUCGUCUAG
rnacentral:rRNA from 1 species